GAUGAACGCUGGCGGCGUGCCUAACACAUGCAAGUCGAGGGGUAACAAGAGAAAAGCUUGCUUUUCUUGUUGACGACCGGCGCACGGGUGAGUAACGCGUAUCCAACCUGCCUAUAACUAGGGAAUAACCUUGCGAAAGUAAGACUAAUGCCCUAUGACUUCCUUUGGCGGCAUCAAAAAAGGAAUAAAGAUUUAUCGGUUAUAGAUGGGGAUGCGUCUGAUUAGCUUGUUGGCGGGGUAACGGCCCACCAAGGCAACGAUCAGUAGGGGUGCUGAGAGGAAGGUCCCCCACAUUGGAACUGAGACACGGUCCAAACUCCUACGGGAGGCAGCAGUGAGGAAUAUUGGUCAAUGGGCGGAAGCCUGAACCAGCCAAGUAGCGUGCAGGAUGACGGCCCUAUGGGUUGUAAACUGCUUUUAUACAGGGAUAAAGUUAGCCACGUGUGGUUAUUUGCAGGUACUGUAUGAAUAAGGACCGGCUAAUUCCGUGCCAGCAGCCGCAGUAA
rnacentral:rRNA from 1 species